UCCUGCUGUGAGCCUGCGCCAGCGACUUCUCUCUACUCAAUCCUCAAGCCCUCUGGAGUGGUUCCAGCCUAGGCCCUACUUCUCCCUAGCUCCCACAUCACUCACUCGGGACAUCCCCGGACCCAGCUGGGAUCCUAGAACAGAGUGGUGGUGGGGCUCCAUCUACUGGCAUCAGGAGCAGCUAAGGUGGCCCUAAGAUUCCUCUCGCCCGGGGCCCCAUUAUUUGAUGUGCUACUCUCUGGAAAUCAAAACUCCAGAGCCUAGACUAGAUUGUAGAUUGCUCGAAGGACCGUGUGCUGCUGAAUUGACUGGACACAUUUGCAUUCGGACACACUCUUUAUCCAUGUCAUUGGCUGCUGCAAAAAGAUCCGAGCCCCAGAAGGCCCUGUUUCCUCAUUCUUGGGGGACUUAUGAGGGACUCUUUUCCACAUCCAGCUUCUAAAGAGUUUCUAUAACCCUAAUGAAGU